rnacentral:rRNA from 1 species
CGUAGGGCGCGAGCGUUGUCCGGAAUUAUUGGGCGUAAAGAGCUCGUAGGCGGCUGGUCGCGUCUGCCGUGAAAGCCCGCGGCUUAACCGUGGGUCUGCGGUGGAUACGGGCCGGCUAGAGGCGGGCAGGGGCAAGUGGAAUUCCUGGUGUAGCGGUGAAAUGCGCAGAUAUCAGGAGGAACACCGGUGGCGAAGGCGGCUUGCUGGGCCUGUCCUGACGCUGAGGAGCGAAAGCGUGGGGAGCGAACAGGAUU